GGGGUAUUCUGCAGGUUUAUGAACUGGUCAUGGAUUCUGCAGUGACACCAGCUGAGUUUGCUUUUCUCUUUCCAAGCAGGGGUGAGAGGGCAGCAGGUGGAGCAGAGUCCUUCAGCCCUGAGGCUCCAGGAGGGAGCCAGCCCUACUCUGAGGUGCAAUUUUUCCACCACCAUGAGAAGUGUGCAGUGGUUACGACAGAAUCCUGGGGGCAGCCUCAUCAGUCUGUUUUUACUGACUCCAGGGACAAAGCAGGAGGGAAGGUUAAAGGCAACAAUGAAUUUUCAGGAGCGCUACAGCACCCUGAACAUCUCCACCUCCCAGAUGGAAGACUCAGGCACCUACUUCU
rnacentral:lncRNA from 1 species